ensembl:miRNA
CGGGCUGCAGUGCUACUCCGUGAGGACAGGGAUUGCAGAGGUUGGAGCUGUGGCUGACGUGGCUCUUUUCUGCCUCCCUCCCAGGUUCUCAUUCUGCUGUACAUUGCUGA